rnacentral:rRNA from 1 species
GUUGAACGCUGGCGGCAGGCCUAACACAUGCAAGUCGAGCGGAUGAAGGGAGCUUGCGCCUGGAUUCAGCGGCGGACGGGUGAGUAAUGCAUAGGAAUCUGCCUGGUAGUGGGGGAUAACGUCCGGAAACGGGCGCUAAUACCGCAUACGUCCAGAGGGAGAAAGUGGGGGAUCUUCGGACAUCACGCUAUCAGAUGAGCCUAGGUCGGAUUAGCUAGUUGGUGGGGUAAGGGCCUACCAAGGCGACGAUCCGUAACUGGUCUGAGAGGAUGAUCAGUCACACUGGAACUGAGACACGGUCCAGACUCCUACGGGAGGCAGCAGUGGGGAAUAUUGGACAAUGGGCGAAAGCCUGAUCCAGCCAUGCCGCGUGUGUGAAGAAGGUCUUCGGAUUGUAAAGCACUUUAAGUUGGGAGGAAGGGCAGUAAGUUAAUACCUUGCUGUUUUGACGUUACCAACAGAAUAAGCACCGGCUAACUUCGUG